UACGGGGGGAGCAAGCGUUGUUCGGAUUUACUGGGCGUAAAGGGCGCGUAGGCGGUCAGCACAAGUCAGUUGUGAAAUCUCCGGGCUUAACUCGGAAAGGUCAACUGAUACUGUGCGACUAGAGUGCAGAAGGGGCAACUGGAAUUCUCGGUGUAGCGGUGAAAUGCGUAGAUAUCGAGAGGAACACCUGCGGCGAAGGCGGCAUCCUGGACCGACACUGACACUGAGGAGCGAAAGCCAGGGGAGCAAACGGG
rnacentral:rRNA from 1 species